AUUGAACGCUAGCGGGAUGCUUUACACAUGCAAGUCGAACGAGUGGCGGACGGGUGAGUAAUAUCGCGGAACGUGCCCAGUAGCGGGGGAUAACUACUCUCAAGCUUGGCUAAUCCCGCAUACUAUUGGAGCGGCCGCUCUCGGAUUAGCUAGUUGGUGGGGUAACGGCUCACCAAGGCAACGAUCCCUAUCUAGUUUGAGAGGACGACCAGCCACACUGGGACUGAGACACGGUCCAGACUACUACGGGAGGCGGCAGUGGGGAAUUUUGGACAAUGGGGGAAACCCUGAUCCAGCCAUCCCGCGUGUAUUAGAAGGCCUGCGGGUUGUAAAGUACUGUUGGCAGGGAAGCGGUAUCUGCAGAAUAAGCACCGGCUAACUACGUGCCAGCCGCCGCGGUAAUUC
rnacentral:rRNA from 1 species